CAGCUAUUCCUUUAAAGAGUGCGUAACAGCUCACUGGUCGAGCGGCAGGGCGUCGAUAAUAAUCGGGCAUCAAGCGCGAUACCGAAGCGUAGGAUGGUCUACGAGAGUAGAUUAUGGUAGGGGAGCAUUCUAAUGACGGCGAAGGUAGAUGGUGAUGUUUACUGGAGUGAUUAGAAAAGCAAAUGUAGGCAUAAGUAACGAUAAUGCGGGCGAGAAACCCGCACACCGAUAGACCAAGGUUUCUGAUCAACGCUAAUCGGAUCAGGGUUAGUCGGGUCCUAAGGCGAACCCGCGAGGGCAGUCGAUGGCCAAUGGGUUAAUAUUCCCAUACCGUUCAUACAGGUGAUGGAGUGACGGAGUACUGAAAGGCUUGCCAACUGACGGAAUAGUUGGUUAAAGGGUGUAGGUAUUGGAUUAGGAGUAAAAUGCACUGAUCUAGCUGAACCUGAUAGUACCGCGCGUCUACGGACAAGCGGAUAAUAGCCGUAAGGACUUCCAAGAAAAACUUCUAGCGUUAAGCGUAUGAAUGCCCGUACCGCAAACCGACACAGGUGGUCAAGGAGAGAAUCCUAAGGUGCUCGAGUGAAUCAUGGCUAAGGAACUCGGCAAAAUGGCCCUGUAACUUCGGGAGAAGGGGCGCCACACGCGAGUGUGGCCGCAGUGAAGAGGCCCAGGCGACUGUUUAUCAAAAACACAUGGCUUUGCGAAGUUGAAAGACUAAGUAUAAGGCCUGACACCUGCCCGGUGCCGGAAGGUUAAGAGGGGGCGUUAUCGCAAGAGAAGCGCUGAAUUGAAGCCCCGGUAAACGGCGGCCGUAACUAUAACGGUCCUAAGGUAGCGAAAUUCCUUGUCGGGUAAGUUCCGACCUGCACGAAUGGUGUAACGAUCUGGCGCUGUCUCAGCCAUGAGCUCGGUGAAAUUGUAGUCGCGGUGAAGAUGCCGCGUACCCGCAACGGGACGGAAAGACCCCAUGAACCUUUACUGCAGCUUAGUAUUGGUAUUGGGUAAACGAUGUGUAGGAUAGGUGGGAGACUGUGAAGUGGCGUCGCUAGGCGUUGUGGAGUCGCCGUUGAAAUACCACCCUUUGUUUGCUUGGUAUCUAAUCCGCCUGUGGCGGAGACAUUGCUUGGUGGGUAGUUUGACUGGGGUGGUCGCCUCCAAAAGGAUAACGGAGGCUUCCAAAGGUUCCCUCAGCACGCUUGGUAACCGUGCGUGGAGUGCAAUAGCAUAAGGGAGCUUGACUGUGAGGCCGACAAGCCGAACAGGGUGGAAACACGGGUAUAGUGAUCCGGCGGUACUGCAUGGAAAGGCCGUCGCUCAAAGGAUAAAAGGUACUCUGGGGAUAACAGGCUGAUCUCCCCCAAGAGCUCAUAUCGACGGGGAGGUUUGGCACCUCGAUGUCGGCUCGUCACAUCCUGGGGCUGGAGAAGGUCCCAAGGGUUGGGCUGUUCGCCCAUUAAAGUGGCACGCGAGCUGGGUUCAGAACGUCGUGAGACAGUUCGGUCCCUAUCUGUUGCGGGCGUGGGAAGUUUGAGGAGACCUGACCUUAGUACGAGAGGACCGGGUUGGACUGACCGCUGGUGUACCGGUUGUGGUGCCAACUGCACUGCCGGGUAGCUACGUCGGGAAGAGAUAAGCGCUGAAAGCAUCUAAGUGCGAAACUCCCUCCAAGAUGAGACUUCCAAACAGGGACGUCAGAGACGAUGACGUUGAUAGGCUGCAGGUGUAAAGUCAGCAAUGGCAUAGCUGAGCAGUACUAAUGACCCGAAAACUUACGUUA
rfam:Nitritalea halalkaliphila LW7 Contig65, whole genome shotgun sequence.